UUGAACGCUGGCGGCAGGCCUAACACAUGCAAGUCGAGCGGUAGCACAGAGAGCUUGCUCUCGGGUGACGAGCGGCGGACGGGUGAGUAAUGUCUGGGAAACUGCCUGAUGGAGGGGGAUAACUACUGGAAACGGUAGCUAAUACCGCAUAACGUCGCAAGACCAAAGUGGGGGACCUUCGGGCCUCAUGCCAUCAGAUGUGCCCAGAUGGGAUUAGCUAGUAGGUGGGGUAACGGCUCACCUAGGCGACGAUCCCUAGCUGGUCUGAGAGGAUGACCAGCCACACUGGAACUGAGACACGGUCCAGACUCCUACGGGAGGCAGCAGUGGGGAAUAUUGCACAAUGGGCGCAAGCCUGAUGCAGCCAUGCCGCGUGUGUGAAGAAGGCCUUCGGGUUGUAAAGCACUUUCAGCGGGGAGGAAGGCGAUAAGGUUAAUAACCUUGUCGAUUGACGUUACCCGCAGAAGAAGCACCGGCUAACUCCGUGCCAGCAGCCGCGGUAAUACGGAGGGUGCAAGCGUUAAUCGGAAUUACUGGGCGUAAAGCGCACGCAGGCGGUCUGUCAAGUCGGAUGUGAAAUCCCCGGGCUCAACCUGGGAACUGCAUUCGAAACUGGCAGGCUAGAGUCUUGUAGAGGGGGGUAGAAUUCCAGGUGUAGCGGUGAAAUGCGUAGAGAUCUGGAGGAAUACCGGUGGCGAAGGCGGCCCCCUGGACAAAGACUGACGCUCAGGUGCGAAAGCGUGGGGAGCAAACAGGAUUAGAUACCCUGGUAGUCCACGCCGUAAACGAUGUCGAUUUGGAGGUUGUGCCCUUGAGGCGUGGCUUCCGGAGCUAACGCGUUAAAUCGACCGCCUGGGGAGUACGGCCGCAAGGUUAAAACUCAAAUGAAUUGACGGGGGCCCGCACAAGCGGUGGAGCAUGUGGUUUAAUUCGAUGCAACGCG
rnacentral:rRNA from 1 species